GUGAGGAAUUUUCCGCAAUGGGCGAAAGCCUGACGGAGCAAUGCCGCGUGAAGGAUGAAGGCCUAUGGGUUGUAAACUUCUUUUCUCAGAAAAGAAUUAUGACGGUAUCUGAGGAAUAAGCAUCGGCUAACUCUGUGCCAGCAGCCGCGGUAAGACAGAGGAUGCAAGCGUUAUCCGGAAUGAUUGGGCGUAAAGCGUCUGUAGGUUGUUUAAAAAGUAUUCUGUCAAAGAUUAGGGCUUAACCCUAGAUAGGCAGAAUAAACUUUUAAGCUAGAGUUUGGUAGAGGCAGAGUGAAUUCCCGGUGGAGCGGUGAAAUGCGUAGAUAUCGGGAGGAACACCAAAGGCGAAGGCACUCUGCUGGGCCAAUACUAACACUGAGAGACGAAAGCGAGGGGAGCAAAUGGGAUUAGAAACCCCGGUAGUCC
rnacentral:rRNA from 1 species